GGAGCGGCUGCGGAACGGCGGCGGCGGUGGCGUCGGGAGCCCCGGCCCCGCGAUAAAAGGGAAGGGGCUGGGCGGCGGGCGGUGCGCGUUGCGGCACUGGGGGGGGGGAGCGUGGCUGGGAAGGAGGGAGGGAGCGAGCGAAGGAGCCGCCUCCCGCAGGAAUCCCGGGCGGGUGGCAGUAACAGUAGUAGCAGCGGCGGCAGCCGGGACGCGCGGCUCCCCCUGGCUGCGCGGCGGCGGGAGGCCGGUGAGCAUCGAGGAGCAGCCGCCGCCUCAUCCUGCGGCAGCAGCCGGCGCUGCACGGAGAACGCAGGUGGCAGUGUAGAAGCCAAGAACAAAAAUUGGCAGAAAUUACAUUCUGUGUACGAGAGAAUGAAGAGUAUACUCAUGACUAAGCACAGGAACCUGGAAAACCACAGGUAUGUGAAGUGAUUCAUACAACUGCCUACGGUGCCCCCAGUAUUCCUGGCACAAUAGGUAUUCUUGGAUAAUUAGCUCUUACUGUGACUAUGUUAAUUGAUAAGGAAAAUGCUAUGUCUGAUUACUGAAAUGAAAAAAUAAUAAAAUACUUUGAAUGCAGUAUGCAAUGAGAGGUGGGAUUUUCAGAUUUCUUAUGGUGUAUGUUAACUAUGAAGAAUCAGAGCAUGGUUAAGUUGCAUGAAGAUUCAGUUUAUUUCCUUCUAAAUACCUAGAUCUAUAUUGAUAAAGUUGAGUGCAGUUACAUCCCUGAAUAUGCUUGAAAUGGAGAAACGUCAAAUAUUAUAGGCAUGGAAACCUUCCUGUAGAAUCGUUUUAUGAACAAUGAAUAGAAAGCAUGAAGAGAAUGAGAGAUGUAAAUAAAGAUGUCAUUUCAAAUACUUAUCUGGGUGUGAUGCUUUAUAGUGCUCAUUUCUGCUGGGGAGUGGGGGGGUGGUGGGAGGGAGAGGCAGUACGUAAGAGCCCAUGAUUAGCUCUCAUGCUUCUAAGAAAAGGGAAGUACCAGGCUACCUGAUUAAAUAAUCUCUCAUUAAUUAGGAAUAUUAGAGUACAACAAAGCUCUUCUUGUAUGCUUAUGUCAUUGUGGACAGUCUGUAGAAAUUAGUCCAUGGGUCUGCAUUCCAGGAUACCUGGGAAGCCAUGGAGGAUGGGGUGAACUCAGAGCUGGAGGGGUUUUUGGAACUUGUGAAUGGGAAGUUAUCCUGGUAAAGUGAUCAAGUGCCACCACCACUGUGUUUAUAAAUGUUUGGCUUUUUUUUUUUAUGCUUUAGGAAGGCAUUCUGUCUAAAGCUUUGAAUUGCUUUUGAGAGAACAUGGUGUUCCCAUGUUCACAGAUGACCAAGUCACCUUGUACAAAGUGGGAACGCAUUUGCAGAUGGUUUAUUUCACUGUCUGUCAUGUUAUUGAUCAUCACUUACUUCUGUAUGUUGACUCGCUUAGGCAUAGCUGGGGAGGAGGAAGUCUGCAGCACUAAGGCCUAUAUGGCCAUGUAGUUUUCAUUGUUAUCACUUAUUAAGCAAAACAGCUAAGCAGUUCAUCCAACUUAAACAUGGCUAUUCACAAAGGUUUUGAAAAAUGUUUCUGAUGUAGUAAAGGUCAGUAUAUGCUUAUGGCUUUGUCAAACAGUGCUGAGCUCAUUAGUUUGUGCCAACGUGUUGAGAACAGAAAAUGAAACUGUUAGGGGUACAAAAUUUUAAUGUAGUCUCCCAUUACAUCAAGUGUUUGCUAAAAUAUUAAAUAAAACUGUUAACUAAGCAACGUGCUGCUCGAGAGUUCAAUCUACAGAUGCUUCUUUGUGCUAAUUAGGAAGUAUUGACAUCAAUGAAUGAAACUACUUGUUAAAGUGCCUUCUAGAGUGUAUAGCAGUUACGUGUUCAUAAGAUGAUUCAUAGCAUUCAGCAACUUGUGAUGAGUUUCCCUGCCAUUACUGGAGAUUAUGAAGUAUCUACUGUAUUUGCACUACAUUUUUUUUUUUAAUUAGCUUUAAUGGUGGAAGGGGAAUUUUCUAUCAACUGAAAGAUCAGGCCUAUUUUAUGAAUUCAUUAAUUAUUUUUCUCUUUAUUGUAUGGUGCAAUCUAUCAUUAACAAUAAAAUGAAAUGUUUAAUCAUGCCUAUAAAUACAGUGGGGUGUGUGUGUGUAAAACUCUCAGGACUUAUGAUGUUCUUGAAAAUUGUGUGUAUCAUGUCAAGUUUGCUAUAUUGUAUUAGUUGUAAUUGAAAGAAGAGUUUUCAGUAAGAAACCUGAAUUUAACAUCUAAAACAGCAGAGCCAGCGUAGAACUCUGUCUGACUGUAUGCAGGAUAUAUUUGUAGGUGCUGCUCUUCUUAACGGUACUGCAGAUGUUGCAUCUUAGAAAACAUCUCAGAAAACUGUCCAGUGAUUGUUUUGAACUGAAAGCUAUGGCUGAUUAUGCAUUUUUAUUGCCUCAAAACUGUGCAAGCCCCUCAAUGCAAUCAGUCAUUUCACACUAAAACAACAAUGGGUAUAGUCUGUUAGACUACCAAGUAUGAUUGCUUGACUCUUUGCAAAAAUAUUUGUUAACAUAGGAGUAUGUCUGAGGCCAUUUAGCUUAGGCACUUUGGCUACUCAGACUGAGACUGAUACCAGUUCUCCAGUUAGAAAAGGGUAGCAUUUUAUUAAUCUUAGCGUUAAUACAGCUGUUAGACCAAAGAUAUAGCUACAGCACUGGAAGAUACUCAUUGUAGGCUAUUAUAACUGAGGGAGGCUCUUGUGAAAGUCACAACAUGCAAAGUACAUGUAUACAGUUAAGUAUCCUUAGCUAGCAAAUGUGUAAAAUAAAGUCCUGGGGAUGUAGUUCUUCAGCCAUCUCUAGGUUGGGUGCCUCUGGAUUUAUUAUACAAGUGUAUCCUAAUGCAGAAGGACACCAAAAUUUUAAAGAAGAAAUGAUCCUGAAAUUGUAUUCUAUAGGAGAUCUUUCUCUUAGGUGACGGCCAAGUUUCCUUUUUCUCUAAGAAUACCCUUCCAUGGUGUUGAUCCUCAAUGGCAGGAGGGUAUCUCCUGUUGUAGUAAGAAGGUGUAGUUAAGUGGAGUGCAAGUGGAUUUAUGAUGCCAAAAGGGAACACAUCAUAACCUUGCAACUGCAUGCCAAACUGACUCUCAUCGAGAGAAGACUAGACCAUCUCAUACCUUAUACGAAAAUGGAAAGCGCAUAUGGAUCAAGAAGACACAGCCUCUGGGGCUGGAAGUCCUUAACACUGCUACAUGUUGGACAGGAGUUGACAAAAAUGAUGUAGAAACAGUGUGGAACUGCUUGAAUAAAAUUCAGUCCCAUUUAGAGGGAAGCCUGGAAGGAUGGAUGAUCAGAUUAAAGUAAAGAGUUGCUAUGCAGUGCUUAGAACUCUAGAACCAGGUAUUUAGUGUCUCCAUUUUAUUUUUCGAAGUUAUUGAUGGUAUAGAUGUACUAGAGAUAAGCUAGCAGGAUGCACAUUAAGAUGUCGGAGAAAGUCUAGUAAGAGGACAGGCCAAAGGAAUAAGAUGCUUGCAGCCAGUCUGGAAAUUAAAGCUAUUGAUCAGAGAUCCAGAACAAGUAAAUAUCCUUUAACAACUUUUUUCUCUGAUGCUUUAAAAAAUUGCAAAAAAAAAAAAAAAAAAAAAAAA